UACGGAGGGUGCAAACGUUGCUCGGAAUCAUUGGGCGUAAAGCGCACGUAGGCGGUUUGUUAAGUCGGAUGUGAAAGCCCUCGGCUUAACCGAGGAAGUGCAUACGAAACUGGCGAACUUGAGUACGGGAGAGGGUCGCGGAAUUCCCGGUGUAGAGGUGAAAUUCGUAGAUAUCGGGAGGAACACCAGUGGCGAAGGCGGCGACCUGGACCGAUACUGACGCUGAGGUGCGAAAGCGUGGGGAGCAAACAGG
rnacentral:rRNA from 1 species